GCUGGAAUAGUUCAGUUGGUAGAAUAAUGAAUUCAUAACUCAUAGGUCGUGGGUUCGAGUCCCACUUCCAGCU
rnacentral:tRNA from 1 species